rnacentral:tRNA from 1 species
GAGGAUGUGCCAGGGGCUGUUGUGCGCUGCUAACGUAUAAGUAGGGGAUUCGAAUUCUUCUUGUUCUUU